rnacentral:rRNA from 1 species
CACGUAGGGCGCAAGCGUUGUCCGGAAUUAUUGGGCGUAAAGAGCUCGUAGGCGGUUUGUCGCGUCUGCCGUGAAAAUCCGGGGCUCAACCCCGGACUUGCGGUGGGUACGGGCAGACUAGAGUGUGGUAGGGGAGACUGGAAUUCCUGGUGUAGCGGUGAAAUGCGCAGAUAUCAGGAGGAACACCAGUGGCGAAGGCGAGUCCCUGGACGAUACCUGACACUGAGGCACGAAAGCCGGGGGAGCAAACAGG